rnacentral:rRNA from 1 species
GCAGUCGAACAUGUAGCUGACUCAGGUCACAGGGUGUGAUGCUUGCACAAGUGAUCCAAUAGCGACAUCUCUCUGCAGUCGAACAUGUAGCUGACUCAGGUCACAGGGUUCGAUCAUGGCUCAGGAUGAACGCUGGCGGCGUGCCUAACACAUGCAAGUCGAACGGUCACAAGCAAUGGUGAUAGUGGCGGACGGGUGAGUAACGCGUAAGAAUCUAGCUUCAGGACGGGGACAACAGUUGGAAACGACUGCUAAGACCCGAUGUGCCGAAAGGUGAAAUAAUUAUAGCCUGAAGAGGAGCUUGCGUCUGAUUAGCUAGUUGGUGGGGUAAGAGCCUACCAAGGCGACGAUCAGUAGCUGGUCUGAGAGGAUGAGCAGCCACACUGGGACUGAGACACGGCCCAGACUCCUACGGGAGGCAGCAGUGGGGAAUUUUCCGCAAUGGGCGAAAGCCUGACGGAGCAACGCCGCGUGAGGGAGGAAGGCUCUUGGGUUGUAAACCUCUUUUGUUAGGGAAGAAAAAAAUGACGGUACCUAACGAAUCAGCAUCGGCUAACUCCGUGCCAGCAGCCGCGGUAAUACGGAGGAUGCAAGCGUUAUCCGGAAUUAUUGGGCGUAAAGCGUCCGCAGGUGGUGGCUUCAAGUCGGCUGUUAAAGCAUGAGCUUAACUUCUAAAGGCAGUGGAAACUGAAAACUAGAGGUCAGUAGGGGUAGCAGGAAUUCCCAGUGUAGCGGUGAAAUGCGUAGAGAUUGGGAAGAACAUCGGUGGCGAAAGCGUGCUACUGGGCUGAAUCUGACACUGAGGGACGAAAGCUAGGGGAGCAAAAGGGAUUAGAUACCCCUGUAGUCCUAGCCGUAAACGAUGGAAACUAGGCGUGGCUUGUAUCGACCCGAGCCGUGCCGAAGCUAACGCGUUAAGUUUCCCGCCUGGGGAGUACGCACGCAAGUGUGAAACUCAAAGGAAUUGACGGGGGCCCGCACAAGCGGUGGAGUAUGUGGUUUAAUUCGAUGCAACGCGAAGAACCUUACCAGGGCUUGACAUGUCGCGAACCCAAGUGAAAGCUGGGGGUGCCGUCGGAGCGCGAACACAGGUGGUGCAUGGCUGUCGUCAGCUCGUGUCGUGAGAUGUUGGGUUAAGUCCCGCAACGAGCGCAACCCUCGUCCUUAGUUGCCAGCAUUUAGGCUGGGCACUCUGAGGAGACUGCCGGUGACAAACCGGAGGAAGGUGGGGAUGACGUCAAGUCAGCAUGCCCCUUACGCCCUGGGCGACACACGUACUACAAUGGUUGAGACAAAGGGCAGCAAGCAUGCGAUAGUCAGCGAAUCCCAGCAAACUCAGCCUCAGUUCAGAUUGCAGGCUGCAACUCGCCUGCAUGAAGGAGGAAUCGCUAGUAAUCGCCGGUCAGCAUACGGCGGUGAAUCCGUUCCCGGGCCUUGUACACACCGCCCGUCACACCAUGGAAGCUGGCCACGCCCGAAGUCGUUACCCUAACCCAUUAGUGGGAGGGGGAUGCCGAAGGCAGGGCUAGUGACUGGGGUGAAGUCGUAACAAGGUAACCCUACGAUGUGAUGCUUGCACAAGUGAUCCA